ACGUAGGUGGCAAGCGUUGUCCGGAUUUACUGGGUGUAAAGGGCGAGUAGGCGGAAUUGCAAGUCAGAUGUGAAAUACCACGGCUUAACUGUGGGGCUGCAUUUGAAACUGCGGUUCUUGAGUGAUGGAGAGGCAGGCGGAAUUCCUAGUGUAGCGGUGAAAUGCGUAGAUAUUAGGAGGAACACCAGUGGCGAAGGCGGCCUGCUGGACAUUAACUGACGCUGAGGCGCGAAAGCGUGGGGAGCAAACAG
rnacentral:rRNA from 1 species